CAAUGACAUACAUCCCAUCGGAUGGGCCUCCCAGGGCUGCGGCUCACUCAAAGAACCGGUCGGGCAGAAAGGAGUGGAGACUGGGUGAGCAUCUAACGGAGGAGGGAAGUGAGUUCCACAGGAACGGUGCAGCCUUCGAGAAGUCUUGAAGGCGAGCAUCAGAGGUCUCGAACUCUUUUGAUGCUGCGCAUAGGACAAGCAGUGGCUUGUCCACUA